UACGAAGGGGGCUAGCGUUGCUCGGAUUGACUGGGCGUAAAGGGCGCGCAGGCGGUACGGCACGUCCGUUGUGAAAUCGCUCGGCUCAACUGGGCGGGGUCAGCGGAUACGGCCGCACUUGAGCAAGCUAGGGGGCAAUGGAAUUCCCGGUGUAGUGGUGGAAUGCGUAGAUAUCGGGAGGAACACCAGUGGCGAAGGCGGUUGCCUGGAGCUUUGCUGACGCUGAGGCGCGAAAGCGUGGGGAGCGAUCCGG
rnacentral:rRNA from 1 species